AUUUUCUGUGUUGCUGCCAUUAUUAACUCCUCAAGUGCAUAUGGCUUCCCACAGUAUUCAGCUAUUCAGUAUUCAGGUAGUGUUCAAAAAGGAAGUUUGAAUUCUUUACAGAAGCAGGGAAGUGGAGUCUCAGCACAGUUGAUAGAGCUGACUCUGGUCUAUCAUCCUGGCUCUGCUCUUAUGUGGUGUGCAGGUGUCUUCUCAAAAAACAAGGGGCUCUCUGAGGAAGAGGAACCUUGUCUUAUUCAUGUUUCUGCACCAAGAAAUUAGGGAGAGAUGGCAUCAGGAUGCAGGGCCACUUCUCCAAUAAAGAAAAGCCAUUCACCCCCUGCCGUGCACUGGAGGAAAGCUGCCUCUUGCGGUGCUGUUCACAGCAUUCCUUGCUGCCUUUAAAGUCUUAGAGCCUUGCUGCAGCCUUUUCCUUCACCCAUAGUCUUACCAGGAGGCUGGAGAGGGGAGCUCCAGGGGCAGCCAUGGACUCAAGCAUUCGCAGGCCUGGAAACUUCUCUUGGGACAAAAGAGGACCAAGAAGACAGGGAUGCAGGCCACCCUGUUGUGUGAGAGGAGCCGGAUGGGGGAAACUCAGACAGGACCUAGCUGUGGCUUUGCAGCUAAUUCCUGGGGUAGUCCUUAACUGCUCUGGGCUUCAAUUUCCUCAAAUGAAAAAUUGAUGGGUCUCAGGUAGAUGACCUGAAACAUCCUUCCUGAUGCUUUAAAUUCUAGGAUUCUAACAGAUGGUAAAUCUAACCAAGAUAUUACUUGGAAUAGUUGUACCUAGCUCAGAAUCAGGGAACAAGAAGGAUAUGUAAAGAAUGUUUAAAAACUGAAAGGAAGAAAGAAUAAAUAAUUGUUCUAAGAAUGCAUUAAUGCUGCCUGUGCAUCCAUAGGAUUUUCCACCAAAGAAAGGAGCUCUUCUCUAUAGAUAUAGAUUUUUGCAAUUAAAACAAAGUCAGAGAAUGUUUUUUGAUAGUUUAAUUUCAAUUAUAUAAGUUAUUCUUACUCUUGGUAUUUAAAAGGUGUGAUUUAAAAAUUCAGAAUGCAUUUAUAUACUCCCUUAAGAAGUGCUAAUAGGGUCACUAUAGGUGGGGAAAUUUUUAUUUUGCAUCUUAAGCCCUUUUGUAAGUUAUAAAUAAUCAUUUCAUAAAUAUUCUUCAGGAGAAAAAAGAAAGGGAUAAAUUCCUGUCUUAACAAAACCUCAGCUCCUAGUGUUGAUUCUAGAUAACAUUUAGCCCCCAAAUUCUAUUAGUUUACAACUUCAGACAUUAUCAUUUCCAGAAUUACCCUCAUAUCAGUAAAGCAGGAUUUUACCUAAAUAGGUCUCAGAACUAUAAGGUGCUAGAUCUUUGAAAUUCUUUUUGAACAGAAAUAAUACUAAUUUUAGUAUUAACCUAAACAUAAACUUAUUUGACAAUCAGAAAAGAUCUAUAUAUUUUCAAAUAACUUACUAUUCAGAAAAUAUUUUAAAUGAAAAAUUCUAACAUUAUCUAACACAUGUAUUCUUCUUAUAGGAUUAAAUCAGAAAGUUCUUUAAGAAUGGAAUUUUGCUGCUACUUAACCAAAAAUAUGUCAGUGGUAAGUUAUUUAAACUCUUGGAACCCUAGUUAUUGCAUUUGAAUAACAAAGGUAACACCAGGCUUAUUUGAGGGAUUAUUAUGAAUUUUAAAAAAGAUAAUGUGUACGGAGAAUCUGCUUUGGUACUUGACACAGAGGGCUAGGGCCCUCUGUCAGGGAAGAUUCCCUUCCCUGAAUGGAGCUCUCCUUUUCUUGUAAUGGCUGAAUACAGUGUUAGAGUCUUAACCACCCUGACAGCAUUCAAGCCUCUCUCCAAACAGGAACCCCCAUACUUCAUUCAUACCAGAAAGAAGACCUCACUGUCCUUGGUACAGGAUUUCCAAAAGUGAAAAAAGACCAGGCAUUUGUCCUUGAUGAAAAAUUCAGAAGGAAGACAGACAGAUAGCAUGAGGAAUUACAGUCUGAUGCUGUGAAUGCUGAAUGAAGAUUGCUUUUAUUUUUGUUGUCUACACUAGGAGCUCGUCUCCUAAAAAGGUCUAUACUCAAAGGACUUAAAAUUAGCAUACUAUAGUAACACAGCCACAUCAAUGUUUAUAUCAGCUCAAUUCACAAUAGCUAAACUGU